ensembl:lncRNA
CUAAGACUCGGCUUCAAGAUCACCUCCUCAGGUCCUUCUGUCCCCCCGGCCGGGUGGCUCUGUUACCUCCACUGGGGGCUCCCGUGCCCCCUGUGCAUGGCCUGUUCUCUGCAGUUCUAGAUCAUAACUGUGCAUAAGAUGAGAUUGCCACCUUGCAGAACUGGGGGCUCCUUGAGAGACAGAGCCGCACUGAGGGCGCCGGGGCCCCUGAAGCUGUGCCAGCAGGAGCUCAGGAAACGGAUCCUCAGAGGUGGCCUUCACUAACUUGUUCCUCCCACCACGGCGAGGAAUGGACUGGAUCUGAUUGUGACAAGGAGACUGGGCUGUGGAACCAGGAUGGACAAAGGAACAGAGAACUCCACAGUUUGCAGGCUCAAGCAUCUGUCUGCAGCCAGAUCUGUCUGCCUACAGUCUGCUGAGGGCUGGAUCUCAUAUGUGCCCACCAGUCCUGUGC